UACGGGAGGCAGCAGUGGGGAAUAUUGCACAAUGGGCGAAAGCCUGAUGCAGCUAUGCCGCGUGUAUGAAGAAGGCCUUAGGGUUGUAAAGUACUUUCAUCGGGGAGGAAAAACAAAACUAAUAAUUUUAUUUCUUGACGUUACCCGAAAAAGAAGCACCGGCUAACUCCGUGCCAGCAGCCGCGGUAAUACGGAGGGUGCUAGCGUUAAUCAGAAUUACUGGGCGUAAAGAGCACGUAGGUGGUUUUUUUAAGUCAGAUGUGAAAUCCCUGGGCUUAACCUAGGAACUGCAUUUUGAAACUGAAAUACUAGAGUAUCGUAGAGGGAGGUAGAAUUCUAGGUGUAGCGGUGAAAUGCGUAGAUAUCUGGAGGAAUACCUGUGGCGAAAGCGGCCUCCUAAACGAAUACUGACACUGAGGUGCGAAAGCGUGGGGAGCAAACAAGAUUAGAUACC
rnacentral:rRNA from 1 species